CAGGGAAACACCUCAGACACUCCAACCUGCAACCAGGAAAUUCCCCACCGAACGUGAUCGGGUCUCCAGCAAGAAUGCUCGCUCUCCCAGUUUUUCCUUCCCAGUCCCUCUCUCUGUACACACACAUGAUUUAUUUACCUUGCCUCUCUCCCUCAUUUUCUUCCAUUUUUUUCUCUUAAAUUAAGAUCCUUUGGGAUCUGCAGUUACUCACAGAAAAACUGCAACCUGCACGCUCACCCCCUCUGCUGUGCUGCGGUCCGCUGUGCGUGUAUCGGCACUGACUGUUCUGUGGACUUUCCGUCUCGUAAAAGGAGCUUCACAGGAUUGCUAAGAGAGUGAGAAGUCGGCCCCAAACCACUGCUACUUCUAGAGUCCCUUCCACACUCACGCUGAGCAGUGCACUGAGAGGCCUGGUUGAUGAUAGGUUUGCCAUCCAGACGCAGGUAGCAGAGACACUCUAAGGACUGUCCAGUGUCAGCUCCACUCUGUACCUAAAGGGAAGCAGCAUGGGACACGGAGGAGCCCCGGACUGGGAGGCCUGGACUGGGAGCGGGCUGCCUACUUCUCAUCUGGAUUCCGCUACCGGCCCCAGGAGUGAGAGCCUGAACAAGCCAUUGACUUCUCCCAGUCUCCAUUUGCUCCUCUGUACCAGGUGUCAUCGCUUCUACUUCAAAGAGGAAGAAAUCGAGGAAGGAGGGCAGAGAAAUGCAGUAAGUCCCUGAACAAUCGCAGUAGAAGGGAGGGUGAGCCACGUUUUCCACACCUUAUUUGGGGCUGUGAUUUACGUGGGAUAAGCUCUUGGCCACUUAGAAUCUUGUUGAAUUUGAUUCCAAGUUCCCGAACCACUGAGGAAGAUAAUCCUAGGACUGUUCAGAUGGGAGCAGCCUCCGGAAAGUUCUCACAGACACUUUGUUUUGAUCCCAGCAGGAGAUACGACACUGAGACUGAAAUCACUGAGCAAUAAUGAA